AUGACCCAGGGCCCCUUCCCUGUCUCCACCUCCCGUGGAACGCCUCCCCCAGCCUUCCUCAAACCCUUGGUUAUCACAGUGGACCGAUGUCCCUCUGUCCUCCGGCCUUGGAAACCACAGCUCCCUCUGUGUGGACCAGCUUUUCACUCCCGUCCCUCUGGCCAGCCUCUAGGAAUGCCUCAGGCUGGAGCUCAGCUGUGCCCCCAUAUCUGGACAGAAUCCCCACCCACCACCCCUUCCCACUGCCUCCUGAGGCCCCGAAGCGUCCCCCCUGCCCUGGGCACAGGCCAGCUGUGGUGGCCUAGUGAUGGUGGCCUGGAGAGGCACAGGGGGCAGGACGAGAUCUGGAAUGGGCCAGCAAUGGAAUGUGCUGCCUGUCUCCUCCCACACCGGGCGGGGAGCCUUUGUCACAUCUGGGCUGUGCCCUCAUUCCCCCUUCUGCCUUCCCAGUGCCUGGAAGUGGUCUUUAGUUCUACCUCUGGCAGUUCUGUUCUUUUGUCCUGUCAUGAAGCUCUAACGUGCACGCCAGCACACAGGGUUGCUCUUCUGCAGUUGCAGCUUCCCGUGUGGGUCCCUUGCGGAGUUUGGGCUGCCUGUCCUCUUUUUUCACCCGGGGUUUGGGUGAGAAGAACAGCUGUCCUCGUCUUCUCAAGGAGUCUCACAAGUGGCAUCUAACUUGCUUUGAAGAAACACAUCCUCCGUAAAUAGCAAAUUUGGCAGGAAAGCUGGCUAAGGUCCCAUGAUUUCUAUAAAAACUGGUGUUCAUUUUACAUAAAAUGUCAAGUUGGUCUUUAAAUAGCAGUCUCUGAAGCACAAGCCAUUUUAUUAUCCAUUAAGUCACUUAGCAUCCACUAUACAGGUUUUCAAAGUUCUUUUCCCCAGAGGGGUUGCUGAUACACAGUAUGCUGGCGAAGGGUGGCAAGAUGAGAGGGGCGAGACUGCUGAAAAGAAGAAUCCUGCAAGCAACGUCUCACUGCAUUUGCUUUAUAGUUUAGAGAAAAUGCAGACAUCGGAUUUGAGACAAGGAGUCAAGAAGGAAACCGCCAGAUGCUGUUGUAAACUCAGAGCCGUGUUCGGCGCAGUUUAGUGAGUUUAGUUUGUGGUUUGGGACCAUAGUCGCUUCUACAUCCGACACCUGCGGUCCCAAGUGCAUUACUCUGCUUGCCCGCCGCCCAGGGCCCUGGGUCAGGCCCAGACACAGUCAGGAAGAAGCUGUGAUCUCAGCUUGGUGGGGCUCUGUCUGGCUGGGGAGACCUAAGCACUCUCUGCACUGCCCAUACUCCUGGCCCGUGGAGGCCUUGCUGUUUAUCAUUUUAAAUAAAAUGCCACCAUAGGGCA
rnacentral:lncRNA from 12 species